ensembl:snRNA U6 U6 spliceosomal RNA
GUGCUCACUUCAGCAGCAUAUAUACAAAAAUUGGAAUGAUAUAAAGAUGAAUAGCAUGGCCUCUGCACAAGGAUGACAUGCAAAUUUGUGAAGCAUUUGAUAUUUUU